rnacentral:rRNA from 1 species
GACGAACGCGGGCGGCGUGCUUAACACAUGCAAGUCGAACGAUGAAGCCUAGCUUGCUAGGUGGAUUAGUGGCGAACGGGUGAGUAAUACGUGAGUGACCUACCUUUGACUCUGGGAUAAGCCUGGGAAACUGGGUCUAAUACCGGAUACGACCAAUCUCCGCAUGGGGUGUUGGUGGAAAGCGUUAUGGAGUGGUUUUAGAUGGGCUCACGGCCUAUCAGCUUGUUGGUGAGGUAAUGGCUUACCAAGGCGACGACGGGUAGCCGGCCUGAGAGGGUGACCGGCCACACUGGGACUGAGACACGGCCCAGACUCCUACGGGAGGCAGCAGUGGGGAAUAUUGCACAAUGGGCGCAAGCCUGAUGCAGCGACGCCGCGUGAGGGAUGACGGCCUUCGGGUUGUAAACCUCUGUUAGCAUCGAAGAAGCGAAAGUGACG